rnacentral:rRNA from 1 species
GUGGGGGAUAUUGCACAAUGGGGGAAACCCUGAUGCAGCGACGCCGCGUGAAGGAAGACGUACUUCGGUAUGUAAACUUCUAUCAGCAGGGAAGAAGAUGACGGUACCUGACUAAGAAGCCCCGGCUAACUACGUGCCAGCAGCCGCGGUAAUACGUAGGGGGCAAGCGUUAUCCGGAUUUACUGGGUGUAAAGGGAGCGUAGACGGUGAAGCAAGGCUGAUGUGAAAACCCGGGGCUCAACUCCGGGAUUGCAUUGGAAACUGUUUUACUUGAGUGCUGGAGGGGCAAGCGGAAUUCCUGGUGUAGCGGUGAAAUGCGUAGAUAUCAGGAAGAACACCGGUGGCGAAGGCGGCUUGCUGGACAGUAACUGACGUUGAGGCUCGAAAGCGUGGGGAGCAAACAGGAUUAGAAACCCGGGUAGUCC